CACGUAGGGGGCAAGCGUUGUCCGGAUUUAUUGGGCGUAAAGAGCUCGUAGGCGGCUCAGUAAGUCAGGUGUGAAACCUCCAGGCUCAACCUGGAGACGCCACCUGAUACUGCUGUGGCUAGAGUCCGGUAGGGGAGCGUGGAAUUCCUGGUGUAGCGGUGAAAUGCGCAGAUAUCAGGAGGAACACCGAUGGCGAAGGCAGGUCUCUGGGCUGACACUGACGCUCAUGCACGAAAGCGUGGGGAGCAAACAGG
rnacentral:rRNA from 1 species